GACGAACGCUGGCGGCGUGCUUAACACAUGCAAGUCGAACGGAAAGGCCCUGCUUUUGUGGGGUGCUCGAGUGGCGAACGGGUGAGUAACACGUGAGUAACCUGCCCUUGACUUUGGGAUAACUUCAGGAAACUGGGGCUAAUACCGGAUAGGAGCUCCUGCUGCAUGGUGGGGGUUGGAAAGUUUCGGCGGUUGGGGAUGGACUCGCGGCUUUUCAGCUUGUUGGUGGGGUAGUGGCUUACCAAGGCUUUGACGGGUAGCCGGCCUGUGAGGGUGACCGGCAACAUGGGGACUGAGAUACGGACCAGACUCCAACGGGAGGCAGCAGUGGGGAAUAUUGCACAAUGGGCGGAAGCCUGAUGCAGCAACGCCGCGUGCGGGAUGACGGCCUUCGGGUUGUAAACCGCUUUCGCCUGUGACGAAGCGUGAGUGACGGUAAUGGGUAAAGAAGCACCGGCUAACUACGUG
rnacentral:rRNA from 1 species